rnacentral:misc_RNA from 1 species
GACCCAUUGCUGGGCGGCGAGCGCGCGCAAUUGGUAUUCACUGACGCACCCUACAACGUGUCAGUAAGUGACAUUGGUGGCGCUGGCAGCGUCCAGCAUCCUCAGUUCGCUAUGGCUUUCCGGGUGACCCCCGAACAAUUUACUUCGUUCCUUGCACAGGCCGCCCAAAAUUUGGCGGCCCAUACGGUUGACGGCUCUUUNNNAUGGAUUGGCGGCAUUGCCAGGAAAUCCUCACCGCGGGCAAUGCGGCUUAUUCCGAACUCAAAAACAUAUGCGUUUGGCGCAAAACCAAUGCCGGCAUGGGAUCGCUUUAUCG